UACGUAGGGUGCAAGCGUUGUCCGGAAUUAUUGGGCGUAAAGGGCGCGUAGGCGGCGCACCAAGUCAGGCGUGAAAGCCCUGGGCUCAACCCGGGAAUUGCGCUUGAGACUGGUGUGCUUGAGUACGGGAGAGGAUAGUGGAAUUCCCAGUGUAGAGGUGAAAUUCGUAGAUAUUGGGAAGAACACCGGUGGCGAAGGCGGGUCUCUGGGCCGAUACUGACACUGAGGAGCGAAAGCGUGGGGAGCGAACAGG
rnacentral:rRNA from 1 species